GACGAACGCUGGCGGCGUGCUUAACACAUGCAAGUCGAACGGAAAGGCCCUGCUUUUGUGGGGUGCUGGAGUGGCGAACGGGUGAGUAACACGUGAGUAACCUGCCCUUGACUUUGGGAUAACUUCAGGAAACUGGGGCUAAUACCGGAUAGGAGCUCCUGCUGCAUGGUGGGGGUUGGAAAGUUUCGGCGGCUGGGGAUGGACUCGCGGCUUAUCAGCUUGUUGGUGGGGUAGUGGCUUACCAAGGCUUUGACGGGUAGCCGGCCUGAGAGGGUGACCGGCCACAUUGGGACUGAGAUACGGCCCAGACUCCUACGGGAGGCAGCAGUGGGGAAUAUUGCACAAUGGGCGGAAGCCUGAUGCAGCAACGCCGCGUGCGGGAUGACGGCCUUCGGGUUGUAAACCGCUUUCGCCUGUGACGAAGCGUGAGUGACGGUAAUGGGUAAAGAAGCACCGGCUAACUACGUG
rnacentral:rRNA from 1 species